rnacentral:rRNA from 1 species
AAGUCGUAACAAGGUCUCCGUUGGUGAACCAGCGGAGGGAUCAUUACCGAGUUUACAACUCCCAAACCCCUGUGAACAUACCAUUUGUUGCCUCGGCGGUGCCUGCUUCGGCAGCCCGCCAGAGGACCCAAACCCUUGAUUUUAUACAGUAUCUUCUGAGUAAAUGAUUAAAUAAAUCAAAACUUUCAACAACGGAUCUCUUGGUUCUGGCAUCGAUGAAGAACGCAGCGAAAUGCGAUAAGUAAUGUGAAUUGCAGAAUUCAGUGAAUCAUCGAAUCUUUGAACGCACAUUGCGCCCGCCAGUAUUCUGGCGGGCAUGCCUGUUCGAGCGUCAUUUCAACCCUCAAGCCCCCGGGCUUGGUGUUGGAGAUCGGCGUGCCCUCCGGGGCGCGCCGGCUCCCAAAUAUAGUGGCGGUCUCGCUGUAGCUUCCUCUGCGUAGUAGCACACCUCGCACUGGGAAACAGCGUGGCCACGCCGUUAAACCCCCCACUUUUGAAAGGUUGACCUCGGAUCAGGUAGGAAUACCCGCUGAACUUAA